rnacentral:tRNA from 1 species
GAAGAGUAAAGUAAAAGUACUUAAAUUAAAAUUUUGAAGAGUUAAAAGUAAAAGUAAACUGUGAUCUUUCAAAAUCAACGAUGUAGGUGCAAGUCCCACACUCUUUG